AACUCUGAACUAGUCAUUCGCGAUGGAAAACAGCAAAUACGCGUAAUAUACAUCAGGAAAAAUUGUAAAGAAAAAAAUAAAUUCGAUGGCUGUGAGGAACUGGAAAUAUACCCUCCUUUCUUUUGAUAUAAUGGCACAGUAAGUAACCAGCUCGACAUUUACUGAUAUUUUAUUAUUUUGGGCAGAAGUCAGUGAGGAGAAAUAAUGUUGGGAACAAACAUACCCUAUUAUGUCUCCAUUAGCUCCUGCUCAUCUGUCCCUACCGUAUUCUGAUGCAGCAGUUGGAAGCAUAUUUUCUCAGAAGAACGUAGCUCACACGAAAAGAAUCGCUUCAAGAUAAGAUCGAUGGAAACCAUUCUUCAAAUUCGAUACGGACUGAAGAGGGACUAAUCGUGCACAAGAUUCACACCUAUCACUAAAAUUAUCAAGAAUAUGUUCAUCGAAGAUCCGCCAGGAUGGAAGAUCAAGAAACAGGAGACGAAAUUGUUGCCUUGGAAGGUGACUUAGGCCUGUAGAAAACACACUAAAUGCACAUAGGAGCAAGUGAUGUGGUAGAAGCAGCUGACAGGUAUAGGAGUGCCUGUUUAUGCCGUGCAAGUUACAGAAGUUUCCUCUGCCUAAAACUUUCAUGCAGUCUAAGUAUAAGGGCAGUAAUAAUGGUUAAGUCGUGCUUGUGUUAAAAGUGGACAUAUUAAACCAAACUGCCCUGAUGACCAAAGGAAUUUCCGAGGUGUGGAGAUCUCGAGCAUAUCCUGUCCUGAUGACCCCAGCCCUGCAACUGAUGACUUGGCUACCCUAACAUUCCGCCGUAGUCCUGAUCCUUGUGACCAUCCAGAUGACCCUAGUCCCCAUGACCUAACCGAAAUACCUAACAAACCUCCAUUCCUUACUCGCAUCCAAAUAUCAAAAGGUAUGAAGCGAAAGUUCUCGUCAAUAUUCUACAGAUGUCCAUGGUUCAACAAGAGCAACCAAAUAGAUUGGUGUAAAGUGCCCUGCAUGAAGCACAUAAUCACUAUAAAACUUUUGAUUUGGUAAGGAAGAGAAUAGAAAAUGGUAAAGAAAGUAAAUUCACGUUCUGUGAAGUACGAAAUGUGCAAUGAUUUGAUCUAUCGAGUCUAUCAAAAGCAAGAACAUUAAUGAAGUUGGCACAAAACUUGUUCAAGAGUGUGUGUUGACGUCAACACAUUAUUUUUUAACUGAUGGACAUUUCUCUCGCAGUAGGACUAACUUUUAAGUAUUUCGGAAAUUAUCUUGCACUUGUGUUGAAGCUGAAAUUAAGCCGUCGGAUAUGGAGCAUAAGUUUGCUUUGGCCACAAGUCGAGCCCAGUCGAUAGUCUUAAAAAUACAGAGUAUCAUGAUAAUUUGGUUGUUCACAAUGUUAAUUGGGAUGAACAUUUACAAGAUCUAAGAGAAGAGACGCACUAGAGAGAUUACGUCAUCAUGGUUUAAUAGCUGGUAUAAGCAAGUAUUUAUUUGGCUUCUCUAAACUCAGAUAUCUUUGUUUUCAUCGGGUGAAAACGAAAUUGAACCAUUAUAGGUCCAAGGAAAAUCAGUUUCUUCUAUGACUUUACCAUAAACCAUAAAGGACUGGAUAAAAUUUCUGGGGAUUGUUCCAUUUUAAAGAUCUAUUCUUAAAUUUGCAAACAUUGCUGCUCCUAUGAAUUGAAUGUUCAGAAAAUAUUCAAGUAAUAAACUUUAUUGGGAUGAGAAUAUAAUAAAUAUAAUAAGAACUAAAACUUGAGCUGAUAUCUAAGCCAAUCUUGUCUGCCAGACGAUUCAAAGAUGCAUAUACAAGCUAUAAACCUCUAGAUCAGGAAAGAUGAUAUGGCACUAUUAAGAAAGAAUUAUUUGCGAUUGCUUAGAUCAAUCCAAGAGUUACAUUUAUGGAAAGGAAUGUGUGCUUUAGAAAGUUAAUAACCUUUAACAUAUUUACGUUAAAUGAGGAAUUCAAAUGGAAGACUUAAGAAUACAAAGUAUUCGGGGGCAUUCAUUCAAAAUCUGUAGAAAAUUACACCAGGCAAUUUACUUUUUGCAUAAAUUCCUGAGACUUAUGCGUAAAUGUAGGGCAUUGUAAAGAGUUUAGAAAUUGCAUAGUAUAUGACUUUGAUAAGUGAUAUGCUUAUCAUUGGAAAUUUAGUAAAUUGUAAAUAUCUUGUUUAUAUCCAUUCUCCUUUGUUAAGCGCCAAGUGCGGAGGUGGCCCCUCACCUGUUUUCCCUUGAAGCACUUUGCCACUGACCCUGCUUGUGUUAGCAGUAAUUUUACCUGCUUGUGAUCUUAUUUUCCGCAGAAUUUUGUUUUACAUAGUGCAUAUUAAGGGAGUGAAAUGGUGGUAAUUCUUUUCAACAGCUUUUUUUUCCAGCAUUUUUCUAGUACGAGGCGUUAUCUAAACUAGCCUCCAAUCCAUCAAGAAAACGAGUGUGCCACGCCCCCACCUACUGGCUGGCCGUGGAUUACGGUUUGUGAUCAUUCACAUAGAAGUGAAGCACCUGAGGACCUGGUAUUUUUUUUGUUUGGGUUUGUUGUUCAUUUGAUUGUUCAAAAUAAAAUAUAUAUAAUUGU
rnacentral:lncRNA from 1 species